rnacentral:rRNA from 1 species
AGUGAACGCUGGCGGCGUGCUUAACACAUGCAAGUCGUACGAGAAAGCUUCUGCUUGCAGAGGCGAGUAAAGUGGCGUACGGGUGAGUAACACGUGGGUAAUCUACCCUCGAAUUGGGGAUAACAUUGCGAAAGCGAUGCUAAUACCGAAUGAUAUCCAUGAGUCUUAGGGUUUGUGGAUCAAAGGUGGCCUCUUCUUGAAAGCUACUGUUUGAGGAUGAGCUCGCGUCCCAUUAGCUUGUUGGUGGGGUAAUGGCCCACCAAGGCAACGAUGGGUAGCUGGUCUGAGAGGACGACCAGCCACACUGGAACUGACACACGGUCCAGACUCCUACGGGAGGCAGCAGUGAGGAAUUUUGCGCAAUGGGGGAAACCCUGACGCAGCAACGCCGCGUGAGUGAUGAAGGCUUUCGGGUCGUAAAGCUCUGUCAAGUGGGAAGAACCCGCGUCGCACAAAUAGUGCGGUGCGCUGACGGUACCACUGAAGGAAGCACCGGCUAACUCCGUGCCAGCAGCCGCGGUAAUACGGGGGGUGCAAGCGUUAUUCGGAAUCAUUGGGCGUAAAGAGCGCGUAGGCGGUCUUCUAUGUCAGGUGUGAAAGCCCGGGGCUCAACCCCGGAAGUGCACUUGAAGCUG